rnacentral:rRNA from 1 species
GACGAACGCUGGCGGCGUGCUUAACACAUGCAAGUCGAACGGAAAGGCCCUGCUUUUGUGGGGUGCUCGAGUGGCGAACGGGUGAGUAACACGUGAGUAACCUGCCCUUGACUUUGGGAUAACUUCAGGAAACUGGGGCUAAUACCGGAUAGGAGCUCCUGCUGCAUGGUGGGGGUUGGAAAGUUUCGGCGGUUGGGGAUGGACUCGCGGCUUAUCAGCUUGUUGGUGGGGUAGUGGCUUACCAAGGCUUUGACGGGUAGCCGGCCUGAGAGGGUGACCGGCCACAUUGGGACUGAGAUACGGCCCAGACUCCUACGGGAGGCAGCAGUGGGGAAUAUUGCACAAUGGGCGGAAGCCUGAUGCAGCAACGCCGCGUGCGGGAUGACGGCCUUCGGGUUGUAAACCGCUUUCGCCUGUGACGAAGCGUGAAUGAUGGUAAUGGGUAAAGAAGCACCGGCUAACUACGUG